rnacentral:rRNA from 1 species
CGUGCUAUAAUGCAAGUCGAACGGGGAGUAUUGACUUCGGUUUUUACUCCUAGUGGCGAACGGGUGAGUAACGCGUUGGUGACCUGCCCCGAAGCGCGGGAUAACUCUGGGAAACUGGAGCUAAUACCGCAUGUGGUCAUGGGUUUUAGAAAGCUAUGACUAAAGGACUUCGGUCCACUUCGGGAGGGGCCUGCGUCCCAUCAGCUAGUUGGUAGGGUAAUGGCCUACCAAGGCAGUGACGGGUAGGGGACCUGAGAGGGUGGCCCCCCACAAUGGUACUGAAACACGGACCAUACACCUACGGGUGGCAGCAGUAGGGAAUAUUGCACAAUGGACGAAAGUCUGAUGCAGCAACGCCGCGUGUGCGAUGAAGGCCUUCGGGCUGUAAAGCACUUUUCUGAGGGAAGAGGAAGGACGGUACCUCAGGAAUAAGUCUCGGCUAACUACGUGCCAGCAGCCACGGUAACACGUAGGAGGCAAGCGUUAUCCGGAUUUACUGGGCGUAAAGCGCGUGCAGGCGGUUCGGUUAGUUGGAUGUGAAAGCUCCUGGCUCAACUGGGAGAUGCCGUUCAAUACUGCCGGACUCGAGGACGGUAGAGGGAGGUGGAAUUCCCGGUGUAGUGGUGAAAUGCGUAGAUAUCGGGAGGAACACCAGUGGCGAAAGCGGCCUCCUAGGCCGUUCCUGACGCUAAGACGCGAAAGCAUGGGUAGCGAACGGGAUUAGAAACCCCGGUAGUCCAUGCUGUAAACGAUGCAAACUUGGUGUUGGUGGUGUAAAAGCCAUCAGUACCGAAGCUAACGCGAUAAGUUUGCCGCCUGGGGAUUACGACCGCAAGGUUAAAACUCAAAGGAAUUGACGGGUUCCCGCACAAGCAGCGGAGCGUGUGGUUUAAUUCGAUGCUACGCGAAGAACCUUACCUGGGCUUGACAUACAGUGGUAGGGAUCCGAAAGGUGACCGACCCUUCGGGGAGCCUGUACAGUGCUGCAUGGCUGUCGUCAGCUCGUGUCGUGAGAUGUCCGGUUAAGUCCGGUAACGAGCGCAACCCUUGCCGUAUGUUACAUGUGUCAUACGGGACUGCG